CAAGGAAUCAAGCAAGUAAAGGUGGUAAGCCUUCUGAUAAGGGUAAAGAUAUUAUGCCCAAGGACCGAGAAUAGGAGUACUCCUACCACUCCAAACUCCUGCUAUAGCUCAAGACAGUUUGUAGACAACCGAUUUUGUCGAAGGUUGCUUUUGGAUUUGCAUACUUAGAGAUCGAAGGUCUACAGUCUUGUAUAUUUGCGGUUAUUAUGGGGUCCACAUGUCAUUGUAGAAUAGUUUGUAUACCUGGCUGCGUGUGCCACUAUAUGUAUGAAUUUAUUUUGCUUUUACGUUACAAAAAUUAUUUACGCAGAGUUCUAUAAAUAUUGUUUUAUA